rnacentral:rRNA from 1 species
GACGUAGGGCGCGAGCGUUGUCCGGAUUUAUUGGGCUUAAAGAGCUCGUAGGCGGCUUGUCGCGUCGAAUGUGAAAUCUCAGGGCUCAACUCUGACAUUGCAUUCGAUACGGGCAGGCUCGAGUUCGGUAGGGGAGACUGGAAUUCCUGGUGUAGCGGUGAAAUGCGCAGAUAUCAGGAGGAACACCGGUGGCGAAGGCGGGUCUCUGGGCCGAUAUUGACGCUGAGGAGCGAAAGCGUGGGGAGCAAACAGG